UCCCUCUUAGCUCAGUUGGUAGAGCGCGUCACUAGUAGCGUCAGGUAUUCCCCUGAGCUAUGACGAGGUCAGUCGUUCAAAUCGGCUAGCGGGAA